rnacentral:rRNA from 1 species
CAACCCUUGACAUGGGACGUAUGGGCACGAGAGAUCGGGUCCUUCAGUUCGGCUGGCGUCCACACAGGUGCUGCAUGGCUGUCGUCAGCUCGUGUCGUGAGAUGUUGGGUUAAGUCCCGCAACGAGCGCAACCCUCAUCUUCAGUUGCCAUCAUUUGGUUGGGCACUCUGAAGAAACUGCCGGUGACAAGCCGGAGGAAGGCGGGGAUGACGUCAAGUCCUCAUGGCCCUUACGGGUUGGGCCACACACGUGCUACAAUGGCGGUGACAAUGGGGAGCAAAGGCGCGAGCCCGAGCCGAUCUCAAAAAGCCGUCUCAGUUCGGAUUGCACUCUGCAACUCGGGUGCAUGAAGUUGGAAUCGCUAGUAAUCGCGCAUCAGCACGGCGCGGUGAAUACGUUCCC